rnacentral:rRNA from 1 species
AGAUUGAACGCUGGCGGUAUGCUUAACACAUGCAAGUCGAACGGUAACAGGAGAGAGCUUGCUCUCUUGCUGACGAGUGGCGGACGGGUGAGUAACGCGUAAGAAUCUGCCUAGUAGUGGGGGAUAACUACCGGAAACGGUAGCUAAUACCGCAUACGCCCUACGGGGGAAAGUGGGGGACCUUCGGGCCUCACGCUAUUAGAUGAGCUUGCGUAGGAUUAGCUAGUUGGUGAGGUAAUGGCUCACCAAGGCGACGAUCCUUAGCUGGUUUGAGAGAACGAUCAGCCACACUGGGACUGAGACACGGCCCAGACUCCUACGGGAGGCAGCAGUGGGGAAUAUUGGACAAUGGGCGCAAGCCUGAUCCAGCAAUACCGCGUGUGUGAAGAAGGCCUGAGGGUUGUAAAGCACUUUCAAUUGUGAAGAAAAGCCUGAGGUUAAUAGCCUCGAGUCUUGACGUUAACUUUAGAAGAAGCACCGGCUAACUCCGUGCCAGCAGCCGCGGUAAUACGGAGUGUGCAAGCGUUAAUCGGAAUUACUGGGCGUAAAGCGUGCGUAGGUGGUUUAGUAAGUCAGAUGUGAAAGCCCUGGGCUCAACCUGGGAACUGCAUUUGAUACUGCUGAACUAGAGUAUGGUAGAGGGAAGUGGAAUUCAGGGUGUAGCGGUGAAAUGCGUAGAUAUCCUGAGGAACACCAGUGGCGAAGGCGACUUCCUGGACCGAUACUGACACUGAGGCACGAAAGCGUGGGUAGCAAACAGGAUUAGAUACCCUGGUAGUCCACGCCGUAAACGAUGUCAACUAGUUGUUGGGAGCAUUUUGGCUUUUAGUAACGUAGCUAACGCGAUAAGUUGACCGCCUGGGGAGUACGGCCGCAAGGUUA